GUAAUUUGCAGAGGAUGCUUUUGACGCGGUGCCUUCCGAGUUCCCUGGAACGGGACGCCAUAGAGGGUGAGAGCCCCGUCUGGUCGGACACCAAGUCAGUGUAAAGCUCCUUCGACGAGUCGAGUAGUUUGGGAAUGCUGCUCUAAAUGGGAGGUAUAUGUCUUCUAAAGCUAAAUACCGGCCAGAGACCGAUAGCGCACAAGUAGAGUGAUCGAAAGAUGAAAAGCACUUUGAAAAGAGGGUUAAACAGUACGUGAAAUUGUUGAAAGGGAAGCACUUAUGACCAGACUUGGGCCCGGUGAAUCAUCCAGCGUUCUCGCUGGUGCACUUUGCCGGGCUCAGGCCAGCAUCAGUUCGCCGCGGGGGAUAAAAGCUUCGGGAACGUGGCUCCCUCGGGAGUGUUAUAGCCCGUUGCAUAAUACCCUGUGGCGGACUGAGGUUCGCGCUCCGCAAGGAUGCUGGCGUAAUGGUCAUCAGCGACCCGU
rnacentral:rRNA from 1 species